AUACGGGGGGUGCGAGCGUUGUUCGGAAUUAUUGGGCGUAAAGCGCGUGUAGGCGGUCUUUUAAGUCUGAUGUGAAAGCCCCGGGCUCAACCUGGGAAGUGCAUUGGAAACUGGGAGACUUGAAUACGGGAGAGGGUGGUGGAAUUCCUAGUGUAGGAGUGAAAUCCGUAGAUAUUAGGAGGAACACCGGUGGCGAAGGCGGCUACCUGGACCGAUAUUGACGCUGAGACGCGAAAGCGUGGGGAGC
rnacentral:rRNA from 1 species